GACGAACGCUGGCGGCGUGCCUAAUACAUGCAAGUCGAACGCAGUUGCGGACGGGUGAGUAACGCGUAGGUACCUGCCUCAUAGCGUGGGAUAACUAUUGGAAACGCUAGCUAAUACCGCAUACUGUGAGAUGGACCUGUGGUGUCUUAGCCAGUUGGUUAGGUAAAGUCUCACCAAGGCGAAGAUACAUUGCCCACCUGAGAGGGUGAUCGGCCACAAUUGGACGGAGACACGGCCCAGACUCCGAAGGGAGGCAGCCGUAGGGAAUCUUCGGGAAUGGAGGGAAGGCUGACCGAGCAACGCCGCGUGAGUGAAGAAGGUUUUCGGGUUGUAAAGCUCUGUUGUUCGGGAAGCGGUACCUAACCAGAAAGGGACGGCUAACUACGUGCCAGCAGCCGCGGUAAUAC
rnacentral:rRNA from 1 species